rnacentral:tRNA from 1 species
GGUAAAAUGGCUGAUAGAGGCAAUAAACUGUAAAUUUAUUUAGGAAAUAUUAAUUUCUUUUACUA